UCUGUCUGUCUGUCUAUCAAUAUAUAUCAGACUUUACAUGUGAAAUAAAUAAACAAUUAUGAAUUUCACAUUAGCAUGAAAUUUGAUUACCAUUUUAAGCAAUUACUGACAAAAACCUAAUAUGGUGUUUGUAUAACAAAAUAUACAUAAUAAAGCAAAUUUAAAAAUGUUCUAUGUUCAGAAGCCCUUCAGAUACAAGAGUGUACAGAAGCCUGUUGAGGAGCAUUCAUACACAUUAACUUUUAUUAUAAUAAACAAGUCACUCUUCAGAUCAAUGUGACCUACAUUGGCAACAGAGGAAACAAUGAGUAAAAAACUGUGAAGAAGAAAAGCAGAAGCUACUUUAAAUCAACUGAACAGCAUGUGAUGCCAAGUAAUAUAAGUUUAUACAAGUCAGUCAAACUUUCCAUAUGAGCUUUGAGUUUAAUUGAUGCAUUGAUUAUACAAGUGGAUAUCUUUAUUGAGAGUAUUAUAGGAUCCAGAGGUCACAUGAUCCAGAGGAACAAGGAAGCAAAAGGAUAUUUCCAAGAAAUAUUAUUACACCCUUAUAUCUGCUCGUUGUUAUGAGGUAUAACUGGAAAAUAGGGAGGAAAAAAAUGGGUUAAAUAAUGAGAAAAUUGGGAGACCACACUAAAUAAUCUCCUAACACAGUGAAUCUAAAUAAAAAGAUGAUAUGUUAUCAUGCGAUAUGAGAGGCGAAUAAGACAAUCGUUUGAUUUCGGUUUACAGGAAAAGGUUAACCAGUAGAAAUCCAUAAUUAGUAACAUCUUAAAAUCAAUAAAAUCUGGACACACUCCAGAACAAAGACAACCUUCAUCCUAGACCAGGGAUUGGCUGUUCAGCCUGAGUUUUCACGAAUCCACACCUGUGUACGACCAUGAGAACAUGACAUAAUUACAGAACCUUAUAUAAGAGCGGAGGAGGGACACAGCCUCUUUAUUGUGCGCACCUGUCGGCUUGGUCACAGUUUGAAGCAAAUUUCAUUCUCUGUGGUAUCAUUUCUGAUUACAGUUUUCUCUCCAUCAUGAAGUGGACGAUCAUAAGAUUCUGCAUGUUGGCUCUGCUGGCCUCCCAGGCUCAGAGUAACGUGACAACGACUGUGACAAUCGACUUGGCAACAUCUCAUAAUACUUCAGUUCCAUGGACAAAUUCAACAACUGUCAAGAUUUCAACUACAACUCAACCACCUGUUCCAACAACCAAUCUUACUUUACCCACAAUAACGAGCAAGAAUACUCCAGGUUCAACUCAAGCCAAUGGGACGACUUUGCAGCAAAAUGUGACAACUGCAUCAGGUCAGCCAAACACAACGUCUCCAUCUCCAAAGUCCACCAUGAGUCAAACACCUGGUUUUUCAAGCAGAAAUACAGAUUCGACCACAUUCACAAAUUCCUCAACUACAGUGAAUGCCACUAUGACAACAGUAGGACAGACCACAAUUGGGACAACUAAGUCAUCCAGCGACUCACUGACAGUUACCAUCAUCAACUAUAUUCUGCCCGUCCUGCUGUACAAGAUGUUGAAUUGAGCAUUAUUUGAUUCAGUCCUGGAUUAAAUCUAAUUUGGAAUGUUUUGUAAAGUACUGUAGAAUAAUAGAAUAUAAGUAAUAUAUAAAAGUACAGACUAUAUGUAUCUAGUGAGCAUGUAACUGACUAUUACAUUUACAGUAGCAUAAGCCAAAACUGAACAUCAGAUAAUAAUAUUAUUGAUUGAAUGUUUGUUAUGAUUGCACACACCUGCUUGAUGCAUCACAAAUGAGGACUUCCUCAAAAAGCACGUAAGAUUUCAAAUGAAAAAUGCAUAGUUUAAAAUAAUGUCUGAAAUAAAGAAGAAGAAAAAAUGA